rnacentral:tRNA from 1 species
GCGGCCGUGGCGGAAUUGGCAGACGCGCUAGCUUGAGGUGCUAGUGGGAUGAAAAUCCCGUGGAGGUUCGAAUCCUCUCGGCCGCA